AACGCGAAGAACCUUACCUGGGCUUGAACUGCACUUGACAAAGGUAGAAAUAUCUCUCCCGCAAGGGCAAGUGUAGAGGUGCUGCAUGGCUGUCGUCAGCUCGUGCCGUGAGGUGUUGGGUUAAGUCCCGCAACGAGCGCAACCCUUACCCUUAGUUGCCACCCGCAAGGGGGAACUCUAAGGGGACUGCUCCGGAUAACGGAGAGGAAGGUGGGGAUGAGGUCAAGUCAGCAUGGCCUUUAUGUCCAGGGCUACACACGUGUUACAAUGCAUGGUACAGACCGUUGCAAACCCGCGAGGGGGAGCUAACCGGAAAAAACCAUGCUCAGUUCGGAUUGCAGUCUGCAACUCGACUGCAUGAAGCUGGAAUCGCUAGUAAUGGCGUAUCAGAACGACGCCGUGAAUACGUUCCCGGGCCUUGUA
rnacentral:rRNA from 1 species